rnacentral:rRNA from 1 species
UACGUAGGGGGCAAGCGUUGUCCGGAUUUAUUGGGCGUAAAGAGCGUGUAGGCGGCCAGACAGGUCCGUUGUGAAAACUCGAGGCUCAACCUCGAGACGCCGAUGGAAACCGUCUGGCUAGAGUCCGGAAGAGGAGAGUGGAAUUCCUGGUGUAGCGGUGAAAUGCGCAGAUAUCAGGAGGAACACCGGUGGCGAAGGCGGGUCUCUGGGCAGUAACUGACGCUGAGGAGCGAAAGCGUGGGGAGCGAACAGG